CCUACGGGUGGCAGCAGUGAGGAAUAUUGGUCAAUGGCCGGAAGGCUGAACCAGCCAUGCCGCGUGAAGGUCAGUGCCCUAUGGGCGUUAAACUUCGUUUGUGCGGGAGCAAUAAUGGUAACGUGUGGCCAGACGAGAGUACCGUACGAAUAAGCAUCGGCUAACUCUGUGCCAGCAGCCGCGGCAAGACGGGGGAUGCAAGCGUUAUCCGGAUUUAUGGGGUUUAAAGGGGGCGUAGGCUGUGAGGUAAGUCAGCGGUGAAAUGCCACCGCUCAACGGGGUGAAGUGCCAUUGAUACUGCCUUGCUGGAAUGCGGAUGCCGUGGGAGGAAUGUGUGGUGUAGCGGUGAAAUGCAUAGAUAUCACACAGAACACCGAUUGCGAAGGCAUCUAACGAAUCCGCGAUUGACGCUGAUGCACGAAAGCGUGGGUAUCAAACAGGAUUAGAUACCCGGGUAGUC
rnacentral:rRNA from 1 species